AGCCGUUAGAGGAAGAGGAAGAGGAGGAAGACGAUGAUGACGAAGAGGAGGUGGGCUCUCGUGUUGUGGCCAGGUGCUCCUUGUCUGGGUCCACGUCAAUGGAGUCCAGACGGACCUGAGCUGUGCUGCGGGGCUGCCGCUCGUUCUGCACUGCUGCAGUGAGGAAAAAGACAGGACGGGAAAGGAAAAGAGAAAAAAAGGAGAACGUGAUGCACUUCUUCAGCCGACACGCCUGGCACUGGUUGCGAUGAGCUUUAUCCACUGGACACAUGCCUGUACCGGCCUGGCACCUGUUACACCAAAGCCAACACUUUAAAGGGAGAGUCCACUCAAAUCUAACAGAAAUACUACAUACUGUAUGUAUGUAAUAAUCACAAAAACACAAAUUCAUUGUGUAAUUUAUCUGAAAUUCAUACACAUUUAUAUGAAAAUAAAAGCCAUCUGUUACUAUCUGCA